AAAAUUUUGGAUUUGGAGAAAGAUUCAUAAGCGUAUUAAAAGAAAUAUAUAGAGAUGCAAAGGCCAAGAUAAGAGUAAACGAAGGAUUAUCAGGAAUAGUUUAUAUAAAACGAGGGGUAAAACAGGGUUGUCCGCUGUCUCCGGCUCUAUUUGUAAUGGCCAUGGAAUAUUUAGCAGAUAGAAUACGAAAUAACGGAAGAAUAAGAGGAUAUA